rnacentral:rRNA from 1 species
GAUGAACGCUGACAGAAUGCUUAACACAUGCAAGUCGAUUCGAUUUACCUUCGGGUAUUGAGGAUGGCGGACGGGUGAGUAACGCGUAAGGAACUUGCCUCUUGGUCUGGGACAACUGUUGGAAACGACAGCUAAUACCGGAUAUUAUGAGAUUCUCGCAUGGGAAACUUAUGAAAGCUAUAUGCGCCAAGAGAGAGCCUUGCGUUCCAUUAGCUAGUUGGUGGGGUAACGGCCCACCAAGGCGACGAUGGAUAGCCGGCCUGAGAGGGUGAACGGCCACAAGGGGACUGAGACACGGCCCUUACUCCUACGGGAGGCAGCAGUGGGGAAUAUUGGACAAUGGGCCACAAGCCUGAUCCAGCAAUUCUGUGUGCACGAUGAAGGUCUUCGGAUUGUAAAGUGCUUUCAGUUGGGAAGAAGAAAGUGACGGUACCAACAGAAGAAGCGACGGCUAAAUACGUGCCAGCAGCCGCGGUAAUACGUAUGUCGCAAGCGUUAUCCGGAUUUAUUGGGCGUAAAGCGCGUCUAGGCGGAAAAAUAAGUCUGAUGUUAAAAUGCGGGGCUCAACUCCGUAUUGCGUUGGAAACUGUUUUUCUAGAGUACUGGANAGGUGGGCGGAACUACAAGUGUAGAGGUGAAAUUCGUAGAUAUUUGUAGGAAUGCCGAUGGAGAAGUCAGCUCACUGGACAGANACUGACGCUAAA